AUAAGAGGUCCCGCCUGCCCUGUGACUAUAUGUUUAACGGCCGCGGUAUUUUGACCGUGCGAAGGUAGCGCAAUCACUUGUCUUUUAAAUGGGGACCUGUAUGAAUGGCAUAACGAGGGCUUGACUGUCUCCUCUUUCAAGUCAAUGAAAUUGAUCUCCCCGUGCAGAAGCGGGGAUAAAAACAUAAGACGAGAAGACCCUAUGGAGCUUCAGACACUAAAGCAGAUCAUGCAUUAAUAUCCUGAACANNNUGGGACAUGAAUACACUGAGCCCUGCCCUAAUGUCUUAGGUUGGGGCGACCGCGGAGUAACAAAAAACCCCCGCAAGGACCGAAUGUAUUNNNACAUUCACAACCAAGAGCGACAGCUCUAAUUAACAGACACUUCUGACCAAUAAGAUCCGGCAACGCCGAUUAAUGGAACAAGUUACCCUAGGGAUAACAGCGCAUUCUCCUCUUAGAGUCCGUAUCAACGAGGAGGUUUACGACCUCAAUGUUGGAUCAGGACAUCCUAAUGGUGCAUUCGCUAUUAA
rnacentral:rRNA from 1 species